ACUCAAAGGAAUUGACGGGGGCCCGCACAAGCAGUGGAGUAUGUGGUUUAAUUCGAAGCAACGCGAAGAACCUUACCUGGGCUUGACAUCCAUAGAACCUUUAAGAGAUUAGAGGGUGCCUUCGGGAACUAUGAGACAGGUGGUGCAUGGUUGUCGUCAGCUCGUGUCGUGAGAUGUUGGGUUAAGUCCCGCAACGAGCGCAACCCCUAUUGUUAGUUGCCAUCAGGUAAAGCUGGGCACUCUGGCGAGACUGCCGGUGAGAAAUCGGAGGAAGGUGGGGACGACGUCAAAUCAUCAUGCCCCUUAUGUCCAGGGCUACACACGUACUACAAUGGCCGGAAACAACGCGAAGCGAAGGCGCGAGCCGGAGCAAACCGCCAAACCCGGUCUCAGUUCAGAUUGCAGGCUGCAACUCGCCUGCAUGAAGUCGGAAUUGCUAGUAAUCGCGGAUCAUCAUGCCGCGGUGAAUACGUUCCCGGGCCUUGUACACACCGCCCGU
rnacentral:rRNA from 1 species